rnacentral:rRNA from 1 species
UGGGGAAUAUUGCACAAUGGGCGCAAGCCUGAUGCAGCCAUGCCGCGUGUAUGAAGAAGGCCUUCGGGUUGUAAAGUACUUUCAGCGGGGAGGAAGGUGUUGUGGUUAAUAACCACAGCAAUUGACGUUACCCGCAGAAGAAGCACCGGCUAACUCCGUGCCAGCAGCCGCGGUAAUACGGAGGGUGCAAGCGUUAAUCGGAAUUACUGGGCGUAAAGCGCACGCAGGCGGUCUGUCAAGUCGGAUGUGAAAUCCCCGGGCUCAACCUGGGAACUGCAUCCGAAACUGGCAGGCUUGAGUCUUGUAGAGGGGGGUAGAAUUCCAGGUGUAGCGGUGAAAUGCGUAGAGAUCUGGAGGAAUACCGGUGGCGAAGGCGGCCCCCUGGACGAAGACUGACGCUCAGGUGCGAAAGCGUGGGGAGCAAACA